rnacentral:rRNA from 1 species
GAUGAACGCUGGCGGCGCGCCUAACACGUGCAAGUCGAACGAUUAAAGCACCUUCGGGUGUGUAUAAAGUGGCGAACGGCUGAGUAACACGUGGGCAACCUGCCCCUUUCAUUGGGAUAGCCACGGGAAACCGUGGAUAAUACCGAAUACUUCGAGACUUCCGCAUGGAAGACUCGAGAAAGCUCCGGCGGAGAGGGAUGGGCCCGCGGCCUGUUAGCUUGUUGGUGGGGUAACGGCCUACCAAGGCAAUGAUGGGUAGCUGGGUUGAGAGACCGACCAGCCAGAUUGGGACUGAGACACGGCCCAGACUCCUACGGGAGGCAGCAGUGGGGAAUCUUGCACAAUGGGCGAAAGCCUGAUGCAGCGACGCCGCGUGCGGGAUGAAGGCCUUCGGGUUGUAAACCGCUUUCAGCAGGGACGAGGCGAAAGUGACGGUACCUGCAGAAGAAGCCCCGGCUAACUACGUG